CAUCCAGACUCCUACGGGAGGCAGCAGUGGGGAAUAUUGCGCAAUGGGCGAAAGCCUGACGCAGCGACGCCGCGUGAGGGAUGAAGGUCUUCGGAUCGUAAACCUCUGUCAGCAGGGAAGAACGGUCACUGUGCUAAUCAGCAGUGAAUUGACGGUACCUGCAAAGGAAGCACCGGCUAACUCCGUGCCAGCAGCCGCGGUAAUACGGAGGGUGCGAGCGUUAAUCGGAAUUACUGGGCGUAAAGCGCUCGUAGGCGGUAUGUCAAGUCAAGGGUGAAAUCCCCGCGCUCAACGUGGGAACUGCCUUUGAAACUGUUUUUCUUGAGUACCGGAGAGGUCAUCGGAAUUCCUUGUGUAGCGGUGAAAUGCGUAGAUAUAAGGAAGAACACCAGUGGCGAAGGCGGAUGACUGGACGGCAACUGACGGUGAGGCGCGAAAGCGUGGGGAGCAAACAGGAUUAGAUACCCCGGUACC
rnacentral:rRNA from 1 species